GACGUAGGGGGCGAGCGUUGUCCGGAUUUAUUGGGCGUAAAGAGCUCGUAGGCGGCCUGUUGCGUCCGCUGUGAAAGCCCGGGGCUUAACCCCGGGUCGGCAGUGGAUACGGGCAGGCUAGAGUUCGGUAGGGGAGACUGGAAUUCCUGGUGUAGCGGUGAAAUGCGCAGAUAUCAGGAGGAACACCGGUGGCGAAGGCGGGUCUCUGGGCCGAUACUGACGCUGAGGAGCGAAAGCGUGGGGAGCGAACAGG
rnacentral:rRNA from 1 species